rnacentral:misc_RNA from 1 species
CGCGACCGUCCACGGCAACGUCAUCCGGAAUAUCCUGCCGAAGCGCCCGAUCGGCACCGCGCCCGAUGACGACGCCGGGAUUGGCAUCGUGGUGGAGGCGGAGCGGGGACCGGCAACGUCAUCGAGAAUGCGCCCUCAUUCGGAAUCAUGGCCGGCUGGGGCAAGUACCUCCGCGACGUGACCAUCACCGGCAACGUACUGCGCAACGCCUUUGUCGGCAUCGGCGUCUCGGUGGUGCCGGGAGGCGGCACCACGCCGGGCAGCAACAACC